rnacentral:rRNA from 1 species
GGGGGAUAAGCGGAAGAAAUUCCGUCUAAUACCGCGUAACAACGUUGGGAGGCAUCUCCCGAUGUUUAAAGAUUUAUCGGCUGCGGAUGGCCAUGCGGCGCAUUAGCUAGUCGGCGGGGUAACGGCCCACCGAGGCGACGAUGCGUAGGGGUUCUGAGAGGAAGGUCCCCCACACUGGUACUGAGACACGGACCAGACUCCUACGGGAGGCAGCAGUGAGGAAUAUUGGUCAAUGGCCGAGAGGCUGAACCAGCCAAGUCGCGUGAGGGAUGACGGCCCUACGGGUUGUAAACCUCUUUUGUCGGGGAGCAAAGGGAGUCACGUGUGACUCAUUGAGAGUACCCGAAGAGAAGCAUCGGCUAACUCCGUGCCAGCAGCCGCGGUAAUACGGAGGAUGCGAGCGUUAUCCGGAUUUAUUGGGUUUAAAGGGUGCGCAGGCGGAGGUGCAAGUCAGCGGUCAAAUUGCGGGGCUCAACCCCGUACUGCCGUUGAAACUGCAUCCCUUGAGUGCGCGAGGAGUAUGCGGAAUGCGUGGUGUAGCGGUGAAAUGCAUAGAUAUCACGCAGAACUCCGAUUGCGAAGGCAGCAUACCGGCGCGCAACCGACGCUCAUGCACGAAAGCGUGGGUAUCGAACAGGAUUAGAUGCCCUGGUAGUCCACGCAGUAAAC